UUACGACACCCUGACAUCCUAAAAGGAGUCACGCAGACCAGAUGGAGGAGCGCCACACCCACAGCAGAAGGAGGGCAAACAAGACGGCCAGGGAUCCCUUGUUAAACAUUUGGUGGGAAAAUUCAUCAUCAGGAGCAGUGAUGCGCAGGAAGUCGACGUGUUUCGGUCGUGAUGGGUGAAAGAGAGACCUGCAGCGGGACAGAGACUCCUCCACUUCCUGCUGCCAGAUCUCCUCCUGCCUCUGCAGGGCUUCGUCUGCAGACAACAAGAUGCAAAUACGUGUCAUUAAUUCAGAGAUUUUUCAUUAGCUAUUUUAUUUUUCAGGGGGAAAAGGCACAAAUAUUGCACAAUAUUGUUUUGAAACUCCAAACUCUGAUGACAUUGCUUUCUUGGUCUGUACCAAACCCCAGAAUUUUAGGUUAAUCAAUGUUGAUUUUAGGAUUGUAAAUUGCAAUCAGCUGUGUUUCCAUUUACCAUAUAAGUGUGCAAUUUGAAAUUUUCAAAAUAAAAUUGCUUAAUGAAAACACA